rnacentral:rRNA from 1 species
GGGGAAUAUUGGACAAUGGGGGAAACCCUGAUCCAGCCAUGCCGCGUGUGUGAAGAAGGCCUUCGGGUUGUAAAGCACUUUCAGCGAGGAAGAAGGCCUAAGGGCUACUACCCCUCAGGAAGGACAUCACUCGCAGAAGAAGCACCGGCUAACUCCGUGCCAGCAGCCGCGGUAAUACGGAGGGUGCGAGCGUUAAUCGGAAUUACUGGGCGUAAAGCGCGCGUAGGUGGCUUGAUAAGCCGGUUGUCAAAGCCCCGGGCUCAACCUGGGAAC